rnacentral:lncRNA from 1 species
UCACUACAAGAAUUUAGAAAAUCACUAACGGAAUUCACCAACGGAUUUAAGUCCGUUAGUAUCACUAACCGAUUCACCAACGGAUUGAAGUCCGUUAGUGAUACUAACGGACUUCACCAACGGAUUGAAGUCCGUUGGUAUCACUAAUGGAUAUCACCAACGGAUUUCAGUCCGUUAGUGAUACAAACGGAUUCAACAACGGUUUCUAGUCCGUUAGUGAUGCUAACGGACUUCACCGACGGAUUGAAGUCCUAAAUUAAAUCCCUGAAUUGUUUGGUUGUAAACUCUGUCCCCCGCUUCUCAUAAUUUCCCAUCGACGCCUCUCCCCCGCUUCCCUUCCCCUAUUUCCCAAUCGACGCCCUUACCUCCACUUCACUGCCGGCAGCCAAGUCGGCACCGGUGACGUCUCCUUUGCAAGUGCCGGCUACGAGCACAAUUUCUCACAGCAGUCCAGGAGAAGCACACUCCGCGAGGAGCUGCGAGAUCCACUGUCAGUUUUCUAUUCUCUCCUUUCUUCUUUGUUCCUUUCGUUUUUUAUUCAACAACUGGUACGCUUUUGAGCUCUUUGAUUUAAACAAUGUGUACCCUUUUGGGUUCUUUGAUUUGGGUAUGCUGCAAAAAUAGAAUUAGAGGAGAAACUGCAGUUGUAAAAUUAUUUUGUUUUUUAAUAUAGUUGUUGAAGACCUCCAUUAAUCAUUGCUCAGCUUAUUUGUUGGCGAUAUUCAGUGCCAUGAUUGUAUUUAAUAAAACUUCUUUCAAUUUUUNNNNNNNNNNNNNNNNNNNNNNNNNNUUGGUUCAUGAAUGGAUAUUUGUUGCGAGAGUCUGAGUUAGGUGAAACUUUGGCAUAACUUGGAAAGGUGGGGGGAGAUGGUGGAGGAAUUAGGAAAUUUUGAUGAGAAAAUGGAUAGAAUAAAUUGUGGUUACAGUGGUUUAUGAUAAUGAUAGUGAUUUGGUCAACACUAAUAUAGUUGGACAAGGCAGGUGGUAAAAUCUUGCUAGGUGUAACGUAGUAAUAUGUAUAAUAUGUAUAGGUGUAACGUAGUAAAAUCACUGGAAAAUGCACCUGCUGGUGCACUUUGCAAGUGCACCAGCAGGUGCACUGGAAAAUGCACCUGCUGGUGCACUUCGCAAGUGCACCUGCUGGUGCACUUGCAAAGUGCACCAGCAGGUGCAAUUUCAAGUGCACCUGCUGGUGCACUUGGCAAGUGCACCAGCAUGUGCACUUGAAAAUGCACCUGCUGGUGCACUUUGCAAGUGCACCAGCAGGUGCACUUGAAAUUGCACCUGCUGGUGCACUUCGCAAGUGCACCAGCAGGUGCACUUGAAAUUGCACCUGCUGGUGCAUUUUCAAGUGCACCAGCAGGUGCAAUUGAAAAUGCACCUGCUGGUGUACUGGAUUUUUUAUUUUAAAACUUUUUAUUUUUAAAACAUAUAAUUUUAAAACAUAUAUUUUUAAACAUAUAUUUUAAGCAUUUGUCUUUGUUCUUUUUGGAUAUUAUAUUUAGUUCCUCUGAUGCUACUUCACCAUGUAUAUUUGAAAGAAUCCCUUAUACAUGAUGCUGAAGAAAUCAUUAAUUGCAAUAUAUAAAAAUUUUUAUGCCAAAUCUUCCUCAUGAGCAGUACCCAAAUACAUUGUUGUUUAAUCAUGACAGCUUUUGUUAUUCAUCAUUAUAUUUUGAAAGAAUCCCUUAUCCAUGAUGCUGAAGAAAUCAUUAAUUGCAAUAUAUAAAAAUUUUUAUGCCAAAUCUUCCUCAUGAGCAGUACCCAAAUACAUUGUUGUUUAAUCAUGACAGCUUUUGUUAUUCAUCAUUAUAUUUAUGAUCAUAAUGCUCUUAUCAUAUAUGAAAUUUUGGUGCAAAUGAUAUAAUUAUUUAUUCAGGUUUUCUCUUAUUUGGAUGCUUGAAGAUCUAGCAGACAUCAGCUUUUGUUACAGUAGAAGUGAAAUUUAGUUUCAUUCUGAUAUCAGGCAAGUUAAAAUUAUCUUAUAUUUUACUCCAAAAUUAAUGAGGAUAUCAGGUUAUCAUUUACAUUUCACUUUGAUAAUCACUAAUGUCUACACAUGAUAUAACUAUGCAUAUCUUGACAUUCAUGUUUUUAGAUCUUGGUUAUUACUCCACCCUUCCCUUCUCUCUUUAUGAACUUUAUAUUAUUUUUGACUACGACAUUUUUUGUUUAUUCACAGAUGAGGGGACGUGGAAGAGUUGAGAGGCCCAGAGGACCGGUUCUACCACCUGGUGGUGCAAGUCAAGAGGAUGCAAAUACAGAUGACGGACAAGAGCAGGAGCCACAUUUACCACGGGCACCGACGGGACUCGGGGAAACGGAACUUCAGAUAUGGGUACCACUUGCAUCUGGUGUACAGCCAUCUCAUAUAGAUCGAUCAUAUACACUAGAUGCAGGUGCCGAUGGCAGAACAGGGUAUUGGGACAUCCACUCAGACAUCUGGUCCUACGGCACCUCCAGCUCCGUCUCCACAGCAGCGGCGUGAUGAUGCUCCUGUCAUUGGUGAUCAUCAUACAGAAAGUGAUGACGAUACAAAUGAUGAGCUAGCUAGUUUAGUUUAGUAUGUAUAUUUUGUUAUGACCAGUUUAUAAUUUUUUUUUCAAAAUUUAAUUGUAGUACAAAUUUUGAAAAGUUUUAAAUAUAUCUGAAUGAGUACUUUUGUUUAUUACGUAUAAAGUAUUACAAUUCAUAUACGAUGUAUGUCUAUGAAUGUACUGGGUACAGUUGUAUAACAGGUGUGCAUAAUGUAUAAAAUACCAUCUGAAUUGGGAGCAUAAAGAUGAAAAGGGGG